AUGCAGUCGAACGGCAGCACGGACUUCGGUCUGGUGGCGAGUGGCGAACGGGUGAGUAAUGUAUCGGAACGUGCCUAGUAGCGGGGGAUAACUACGCGAAAGCGUAGCUAAUACCGCAUACGCCCUACGGGGGAAAGCAGGGGAUCGUAAGACCUUGCACUAUUAGAGCGGCCGAUAUCGGAUUAGCUAGUUGGUGGGGUAACGGCUCACCAAGGCGACGAUCCGUAGCUGGUUUGAGAGGACGACCAGCCACACUGGGACUGAGACACGGCCCAGACUCCUACGGGAGGCAGCAGUGGGGAAUUUUGGACAAUGGGGGAAACCCUGAUCCAGCCAUCCCGCGUGUGCGAUGAAGGCCUUCGGGUUGUAAAGCACUUUUGGCAGGAAAGAAACGUCCCGGGAUAAUAACCCCGGGAAACUGACGGUACCUGCAGAAUAAGCACCGGCUAACUACGUGCCAGCAGCCGCGGUAAUACGUAGGGUGCAAGCGUUAAUCGGAAUUACUGGGCGUAAAGCGUGCGCAGGCGGUUCGGA
rnacentral:rRNA from 1 species